rnacentral:lncRNA from 1 species
CUCUACCAUGGCCAUCCUUCUCAUCACAGAGGCUGUUGGGGAAACCAAGGGCAGCCUCCCACCACCUCCAGUAGCCCUGGCAUACAUGUUUCUAUCUCCUCUCCCUCAAACAAAGCCAGGGGGACCUCACAAUGAGUGCCAUUGAAGAGAUAAGCAUGCUCUCCUCCGUUGUUGACUUUUGAGUGGCAUUUCCUCCACCAGGAAUGUGCCCCACAACAAGUUGCUGCAUUACAAGCUGGACUCACUCUAUUUUUUGCCAUGUAAACUGAGGACUUUCUGACUGCAACAACUUAUUUUCCUGGUUAUCCUCCACAAGGGGGAACUGAUCUCAGUAAAGGCUUCUCUGGGUUGCUCCCGACAAAAGGAAUAUGAAAAAAGAUGAUGUAUAAACACGAUGGAUCUUUUGCCCAAGUUAAAGGAGUAAGCAGGACAGCAGAGUGGGUGGAGAGGCCAAGACAACAGGGAGGCACAGCUCAAGAUAUUUCAUGGAGGGCAACCCAAGACAGCCAACCAGCACCUUCCUGUCGGUUUGAUGUCCUUCGUGGCUUUGUUUUCCUCCACGCAGGCUGCCAAGGAAGCAGCUGCGCUCAGAGGUGCAAAGGAAGAGGUCAGGGUGAGGAGGUGAAAAGGAAUUCCUGCUGUCUGCUGCUAUCUGCCCCUACUUGCACCUGAGCCAGCCACUUCAGGUCUUGUUUUCUGUUGCGGAACUCAUACAGACUCAGCCUCAUCUCAGUGCGAGGCCUCACCAGCGGCCAGGCAACUCCAGGAGGAGAAGCUGCCAUGCACGAGGACAGAGCUGGCACCUCACAGUAUUCUGCAGGGAGCCCAGGUCUCUGUGCUUGCUUCUCACAGGCAUUACAGC